rnacentral:lncRNA from 10 species
AAAACCCAACAAAGCCUAUCUGACUAGAUUCUUCUUGGCCUCUCUGAGCACUGUUCCUUCCUUCUGGGGAUGGGGCAGGACCUUCUCUGCAAUAGGCAUCUUAUGAUCUACAGUCAGACAAGUGGAAAAUGGAAGCAACGCUGACAUUCUCCUUCCACCUGAGAGCAAGCCUGACACCAAGAAAGCUGUGGGAAUAGGAGGGAUGGGCCCGGACACCGCCAUCUCCAAACUGCUCAAGAUGUGUCAUCUGCAUAGAUAAACUGGCACACCUGUGGAUGGGACAUCCUUUAAGUAGAUGUUAAACAAGAUCCAAGAUUGGCGUAAUGAGCCUUCAGUGGACUGUCAUGAUUAACUGCGCAUGCUGGCUGGCACACCAGAGAAAGCUGAUGAGUUGGAGGAACUGCACUCUCAUUGCUGAAGAGCUGCUAUGGGUUGAAUUCUGCCUCCUCCAAAAUUCAUAUGUUGAAGCCCUAACUUCCAAUGUCACUGCAUUUGGGGACAGGUCCUCUAAGAGGGUGAUUAAGGUUAAAUGGGGUCAUAAGGAUGGGAUAUCAGUCCAAUAUGACUCACGUAUCAUAAGAAGAUGAAGAGACACCAGGGAUAUGCACACACAGAAAAAAGGUCAUGCCACAGGUGGACACAGAGAGAAGGCAGCCAUCUGCAAGCCAAGGAGAGAGGCCUCAGGGGAAACCAGCCCUGCUGCCACCUUGAUCUUGGACUUCCAGCCUCUAGACCUGUGUAAAGAUAAAUUUCUGUUGUUUAAGUCAUCCAGUCUUUGGUUAUUUUGUUAUGGCAGCUCCAGCUGACUAAUCCAUGAGUUAUAUAUUUGGUUGUCAUUUCUAAGAGAGUAUGUUAUUUGAUCUUUGUUGGCUUUGCUUUCAUC